GGAAAAUUAGAAGUUACAAGAAAUCUAAUAUGUCUGUAAUAGACAAGAAAAAACUCAACAUAUGGAAAAAAUAAUUAGGAGAGACUUUUCUCCUCUAGCCAUAUAGUAGACCAAAUAUUCUAAAAAAACCUUCUUACUACAAUCUAGAAAUGCAAGAGAAGAUACAAGAAACAUCCUUUAAAAUAUAAACUGAGCUUAUAAGGAAGUCAAGGAAACCUUCAAGAGCUCAAAAUGAAUGGGAAGUGUAGUGAAUUGCAAUUUUGCCUUGGCAUCUAUUUUGAAUAUAAGUUGGAUUUUCUCAUUCCAAAAUCAAGGCUCAGUCACCCUUGUCACAGUUUCCAGUUCUCCACCUCCUCCAGUUCUUCAAUGGGAUUGACCCAGGUAUCUGCCUCAUUCAACCACCUCCUGGUUGAAUAAGGGACAUCUACAUACAACCUAGUUGACUUGCCCCAGAGACCCCUACACCCUGCAUAGACUGCGUAGAUAUGCUGCUGCAAUGACCACCUCUCAGUCACAACACAAAUCCACAGAACUCAUUCCUGCUUGCUCUGAGAACACCAAUUAGAACUCCCCAUGGAGGCUUGUUAUUUUUAUCCAUUUAUUCCUUGAUUUAUGGGUUAUUUGUUGUUAUAAUCCCCUUACCAGCUUGAUGUUAUUUUUUACUUUUUGAGACAGAGUCUUGCUCUGUCACCCAGGCUGGAGUACAGUGGCGUGAUCUCGGCCCACUGCAACCUCUGCCUCCCGGGUUCAAGCAAUUCUCCUGUCUCAGCCUCCCGACUAGCUGGGACUACAGGCGUGAGCCACGGUGCCCGGCCUGAUGUUAUUUGUAUUUCACACGAAAGACUGGGAGGAAGCCACUCACAGAGCAGCACAUCAUACAGUCCAAGAGCUGGGACUCACCCCUGGGGAAGACCGAGGAAGGGCACUUCAUCGUCUCAAUCCCAAUUUAAAUUUGCAUGAAAACCCCAUGGAAACUGAGGAAGAGGGUCUGAGUCCAAGGCAGUGUCCAUCCUCCAAAGGAAAGCACAGGCUUGAGACUCACAGACCCAGGGAAUAUGUACUGUGCAUAAUUAGGUAAAUCAUGCCCUCUGGUGGCUACUUUUGACUGAGACAAAAGUGUGCACCUUCAGGGCCCGCUGGUGUCCAGCAGCGAUGAGAAAGCCCUGGCUUUGAUGGUGUCAGGAGUGUCCACAAUCACCACCAGGUGGGGAGCCUUAACAAUUCCCGACAUAAAUGGAAAGAUCCAAACUUUUCGGAACUAAUUUCAAAGUUACAGGCUGGGCAUAGUGGCCCGUGCCAGUAGUCUCAGCUACUCAGUAGGCUGAGGCAGGGAGGAUCGCUUCAGCCCGGGAGGUCGAGGUGGCAGUAGCUGUGGUUGUACCACUGCUCUCCAGCCUGGACAACUGAGCGAGACCCCAUUAAAAAAAAAAGUUACAGAAUAGUUACAAGAACUGUACAAAGAACUCCCAUAUACCCUUGGCCCACAGACCUCAAUGAAGUUCCCAAAUCACACCUGUUGCCAUGACGAUGACCUUUCCGCAAAAGGUGUGUCUGAGUCUCUUCCGUCUCCUUCAGUAAGGAACAGUUCUUCAGCCUUUGACUUCCUUCUCUGGACUCUUAACGACCAGCGACCAGCUGCUGGUAGAAUAUUCCCCGCCGAGGGCUGUCCGGUACAAUAUUCCUCCGCCGCGGGCUGUCCGGUAGAAUAUUCCCCGCCGCGGGCUGUCCGGUAGAAUAUUCCCCCUCCGCGGGCUGUCCGGUAGAAUAUUCCUCCACCGCGGGCUGUCCGGUACAAUAUUCCUCCACCGCGGGCCGUCAGGGAGAAUAUUCCUCCACCGAGGGCCGUCCGGUAGAAUAUUCCCCGCCGCGGGCCGUCCGGUAAAAUAUUCCUCCACCGCGGGCUGUCCGGUAGAAUAUUCCUGCAGUGCGGGCUGUCCAGUAGAAUAUUCCCCGCCGCGGGCUGUCCGGUAGAAUAUUCCUCCUCCGCGGGCUGUCCGGUACAAUAUUCCUCCACCGCGGGCUGUCAGGUAGAAUAUUCCUCCACUGCAGGCUGUCUGGUUGCCCCAUGGUUUUGUUCAGUUGCACAUUUUGGGCAGUAGCAACCCAGGGGUGAAGCUGGAUUCUUUUUUUGGCAUCACAAAAGAACCAGGUGGCAUGCGAUGCCAGUUUGUGCCAGGACUGGUGAUGCUCAUCUUGAUCCCUUGAUUAAGGUGGAGGUGGCCAGGCUUCUCCACUGCCAAAUCAUUCUUCUCCUCUUUGUAUUGAAUGCAUAGUUCAUGGGGAGAUCCUUUGAGACUUUGUAUACCUAUUCC
rnacentral:lncRNA from 10 species